ACGUAGGGGGCAAGCGUUAUCCGGAUUUACUGGGUGUAAAGGGAGCGUAGACGGCAUGGCAAGUCUGAAGUGAAAUGCGGGGGCUCAACCCCUGAACUGCUUUGGAAACUGUCAGGCUGGAGUGCAGGAGAGGUAAGUGGAAUUCCUAGUGUAGCGGUGAAAUGCGUAGAUAUUAGGAGGAACACCAGUGGCGAAGGCGGCUUACUGGACUGUAACUGACGUUGAGGCUCGAAAGCGUGGGGAGCAAACAG
rnacentral:rRNA from 1 species